UACGAAGGGGGCUAGCGUUGCUCGGAAUCAGCUGGGCGUAAAGGGUGCGUAGGCGGGUCUUUAAGUCAGGGGUGAAAUCCUGGAGCUCAACUCCAGAACUGCCUUGAAUACUGAAGAUCUUUGAAGUUCGGGAGAGGGAUGCGGAAUUCCAGGUGUAGCGGUGAAAUGCGUAGAUAUCUGGAGGAACACCGGUGGCGAAGGCGGCAAUCCUGGACCGAAAGUUGACGCUGAGGCGCGAAAGCCAGG
rnacentral:rRNA from 1 species